GUGGAAAUAUUUUAGGCAGCCCAUGGAUUUUCAUAAUUUUCACACUACACCCCCUGUAUUAAAUUGGAUAGUUUGCCCGCCUCCAUGGCCUCAUCAGAUUUCCAAUAGCAACUUUUCUAUACAUUGUAACUGGAAUUUCCAGUAUCUUCAGUCCCUUAGGUUUUGUGUUUAAUUAAAAUGCUACUUAGUAUUUGCCAAUAAAAAUUGCUUUUAAAAGUCUAUACUAACGUUUGGUGUUGUUUCAGGAUAAACACUCAUAAUUUUUCUCCUGAUGAUGGAACCAAGUGCUAACAAUUGCAAGACACCACUGUCGGACGAAGGUUUGCAAGUUGAAAUGAUCUCCUCUUGAUAAAUAGCUUCCAACAAAGAACGAUCAUUCGCAAUGUCUUCAAAAUGGCUGCCAGUAUCUUUUAAGUGUUUCUUUUGUGCAGACAUUUUACGAAAUAUGUCUUCAUCAGACAUAUAAAAUUCGAUAAAUAAAGCCAGUUCAACAACACAACGUACCCUCAAUUCGGUGUGCAUAUCUUCAUUUCCAGAAACAAGAAUGGAAAAGGAGCGGAAGCACGAACUAUCGGCCGAUGUUUCUAACGCGACACAAUCUGAUGAAGAGGGCAAAUAUUGUUGCGAAUUAAAAUCCACAGUGAAUUUGGAAUAGUCUGGCACUUUCCAUUUAAAAACACCAAUUGUCUCCAUAAUUUCUGCGCAAAAAUUUUUAAAUUCUGCCCAACUUUUUGUCGAAACGUUUUCCAAGUCCUCAAGGAUGCACUUAUACAUAUCCGCCAUAUUGAAAAUACUGAAAUCUGCUAGGCGUUCUGAAGCACCUUGAGCUGUGACGUCACACUUAGGUCCCA